rnacentral:lncRNA from 1 species
GUCGCUGAAAUUAUCAGGUAAGUAAGAUGAAAAGGUUCUAGAAGGCAUAGUCAUAAAUGGCUAAAUCAUAGUCUGGAACAGAACACGUUGAACCAAACUUGAAACUUCAGUAAAAGCAAUAUAAGUUUGAAGUAAAAGUUAUAUAGUAGUCUACAAUAAACAUUUACAAAUCAUUUAAUACUUUGAUAUUCAAUUUUCUACAACCACUCGACUCUAUUUGAACACAACUUAUCCCACGAAAUAUGUUGUUGCAUGAAGCAAAAAUGAAGUAUUUUUGAGAAUAUUCCUACUCUUAGUAUUGUAAGUGGGUAGUCUAGUCCUGUAAUAUAUACCUAACAUGAUGGUUUGGAUGUGUAACUUUUUGAAAAAUUGGGGACUGAAAAUAAAGUUUGUAGCUCAUGUUAUUCCCCAGCUUCUAAUCACAGUGUGUAUCAGCAACAUAAGUUAGUGGGUCAACAGUGAUUUUAAUUUUAUGGGAGCAGUUCUGUGCCUUAAUUACAUUAUCAUUAUUCAUCCCAGUGUGUAUCAGCAACAUAAGUUAGUGGGUCAAAAAUUAAGGUGACAUGCUUGAUGCGUAUAGAAUUAUAAUAAUUAUUGUAUACUUUUAUUCACAAAAAAGAGAGUAAAAAUAAUAAUUUCAAAUAGAUAGUCAAUAAAGUCUCAAAGAAUCAAACGACCUAUGAAAAAAAAUGGAGAAGGUACCCUGUCUAAAUUACUUUUCACAGAAGUCUUAUGUUCAUUUAAGCUGAUCUAUGUAUAAAUUGUUACAGUAUAGUAAUAAUGCAAUUAAUUAAAAAUCAUAAAAAUUAAGCUACAUGUUCAUUGCUCCCUGAAUGAUUAACUGGACACCUGAAUUUAUAAAAAAGAAAAGAAAAGACAAGAGUAAUAUACUAAUAUAAAUGUAACACUAUCUCUUUCUCUUAUUAGAAGCUCACUUGCAUUUGUGUAUUAUAAAGAAAACUGUCAUCCAGAUUGAAAAAGGGAACGUGUUUUUUUGAAGUACAAAAGUGGGAAAUAUGAGUUUAAUGUAUAUUACAGGUUGGUCUGUAGUUUUCGUUUCAAUAAAUACUUCUUUGCCUAUAAACAUAAGAAGCUACAAAGCAUGCAGAUCACCUGACUUAAUUUGUGAAAUCAAAGAUAACACAGUUUUUCCACUGUAUUUACAAAUAUAUAACAUCCACAAGAGGUUUGGCAAAAAGUUCCUCUUCUACAUCUGAUAUUUAAUUAACUAUGGCGUGGAAAUAAUGAUAAAGCUGCUUAGCAAAAAAAAAAUAAUGAUAAAGCUCUUUAUUCAACAAAAACUGAAACCAAAAAUCUUUAUAUAAUCUUACAGAUAUUAGAUUUUUGUUUAAAAUUUAGAACUCUUACUUCUUAGAAUAGAGUUGCACUCCACUGGUAUACACUGCUCCCCUAAUCUCAUCUAGAACUAAUUCAAUUUAUAUAUCUGCUCAUACAUUUCAAGUGUUAAAACACAACCACCAACAAUUAUAUUAAUGCAAAUAAGUAUAUGGGAUUAAUUAUACAGCUCAUUUGGUAGGGUUCUCAACUUGGCACCAGUCACAAUACGCAAAACAAUUGCAUAUAUCCUCAAACAUUAUUGACAAGAACAAACAAAAUUACCUUAUUAUUUCCAGUCAAAUCCUUCUUCCUCUGUCCCAUGCUAAACACACAGCCACCACAUCUUUAGUCGUCCUCUUCCACUUCUUUUAUACAUGUAACAUGAUAGCCAUUGUGAAGGAAAAAUUAUGGCCGUUUUAUCAGAAGUAUGCUGGGUUAUGCUUGGAGACUCAAGGAUUUCCUCAGUGAAUCAGCCGAAUUCCCCUUCACAAAUUGCAAGUCCAGGUGAGACCUAUAAGCACAUUCUGGUCUAUAGGUUCAUAGCAAAGUAGAAUGAAGCAUCUGGCUAUUAUAAAAUUUAAAUAUUAUAUUAAUAAUAUAAAUAAAAUUAUGAAGUGGUAUCAUAGUGUGUGUGAAUGUAAGGUUGCAUGACUGGAGCUUCCUGUAAAUAACUGGGGGAGGAUGGAAGUCUACAGUACACACACCCCAAACAGUGUGCAUUCCAAAUAUCCAAUACAAACCGCAAACAAUUUAUAAAACCCUGAAUAACUCAAAACUUAAAAGUGGGAAGCAAAACAAACGAUGCACUCGAGAAACCAUGUUAUACUGGUGAUGUGAGACCGCACCUGUUCUAUUACUGACCUGCUUUAGCGCAACAGAAGUUCUAAAUCUCCACUAAGUUUUGUUCCUAUGAAGAUUAUGCAAAUUAUAUAUCAUAUAAAUAUAAAAGUGCGCCAAUAGCCCUGAACAUAUAUUCCAACAAUUUGAGAAAUAAAUAUAUAUAUUACAUGUAUCUCAUGUGGAUUAUGUCAAGUUGUCAACAGGUUAAGUCACGGAAAAAAGUUAAAUAUUUAUAAAUGCAGCAUCAAACUGAGAAAGAGAGAAGGGAAAUCCAUUUGACAGAUAUCCAAAUAUUCAAAAAAAACGAAAGCAAUUUUAGCUAGUCUUCCUGGCAAUCGGCUUACCCUAUGGCAGAUCACUGGUUCUUACAAGGUGCAGAAACACUUGGUUGAGACGGCAAGUAUAACUGUAUAAGUGUAUAAUCACUUGUAAUCCACUUGCACACACAACUGACAUAACAAAUACAAAAUUUACAUACCGUUGUCAUCGAAGGCUCAACUCUCCGAUUCCCCUCCCUACCUUAGAAACUUCUACUGUUUAUGGGCUCCAGUCUCGUUGGUCGCUGCCUCAGAAACACCUGGUUGAGGCGGCAAAUCAGUAUAAUCACUUGUAAUCCACUUGUACACAAUUGACAUAACAAAAUUCCAAAUUACAUACCUAUGCAAUCGUCGAAGGCUCAGCUCUUCGAUUCCCCUACUUUGGAAUUUCGACUGUUUAUGGGCUCUACUCUCGCUGUCUGAUUUAUGGGCUACUACAAAAUACAUGUGAACAUCUGGAGGCUGGAAUCAAAUCAUGAGUUAGACAACACUUUUAUCAUUAAAAGAGAUAUAAGAACUGGAGGAUAUCCAAAGGUGCAGAAUACUUAUGCUAGAAGAUCUAGUUAUUUUGAGCAAAGACAUCCAUUUUACAUAUAUUACAGUAUAUGAAUCACCGGUGUGCUCGUCUUGGCUACGUUUGUCACAUCAUAUGGAUGAUAGUACCAAAGCUGUAAGUUAUCGUCCAACUUAUAAAAGUAUCAAGCUUAAUUCGAUAUUUCACAAUGACCAUAGAGAUUAAGUUUUACCAAGUAAAAUUAAAUUCCUGAAAGUAAAGGUUCUCAACAAUUGUAUUAACUCUACUUAAGCCUACAUACUGAUUUUGAUUAAUGAUUCAGAAUAAACGGAAUCCAGGAACCUAUAUCUCGUAUAUUCAUUUCUAGAAACAAAUGAAGAGGCAAAAGAUAUUUGGAUGAUCAUCAAAGAAAUAGAUAAAAUAAAAUUUUGAAAUCAGGUCCCAUUAAGCGAGCAAGUUUACUAAAAUGUAUUACGAAACCAAUAUAGCAACAAUUUUAAAGCAUUUACUUAAUUUUAUAUUCUACUUUAAGUAGAACUCACCAAACUUAUAAUAACGGGGACAAGCAAGCGGAAAAAUUUACCUUAAUGGAGACCACCAUCCGGAAUAAGACAAUUAUGAUCUGCCUCAGAUAUAAGAUCCUGCAUUAGAGAAGUUCUCAUAUUUUUUUAAAUCUCACAACAUACGAAAUCGUGAUUUAAUUGAUUAUAAUUUGAUUAAAAAAUAGCAUUGAAAUAGACAUAUUUGAUUAAAAUAUCAUAUCAUGUCACAUUACCAAUAAAUAUCAUUUUCUUAUUACAUCUACCUUAUUAUUUCCAGUCAAAUCCUUCUUCCUCUGUCCCAUGCUAAACACACAGCCACCACAUCUUUAGUCGUCCUCUUCCACUUCUUUUAUACAUGUAACAUGAUAGCCAUUGUGAAGGAAAAAUUAUGGCCGUUUUAUCAGAAGUAUGCUGGGUUAUGCUUGGAGACUCAAGGAUUUCCUCAGUGAAUCAGCCGAAUUCCCCUUCACAAAUUGCAAGUCCAGGUGAGACCUAUAAGCACAUUCUGGUCUAUAGGUUCAUAGCAAAGUAGAAUGAAGCAUCUGGCUAUUAUAAAAUUUAAAUAUUAUAUUAAUAAUAUAAAUAAAAUUAUGAAGUGGUAUCAUAGUGUGUGUGAAUGUAAGGUUGCAUGACUGGAGCUUCCUGUAAAUAACUGGGGGAGGAUGGAAGUCUACAGUACACACACCCCAAACAGUGUGCAUUCCAAAUAUCCAAUACAAACCGCAAACAAUUUAUAAAACCCUGAAUAACUCAAAACUUAAAAGUGGGAAGCAAAACAAACGAUGCACUCGAGAAACCAUGUUAUACUGGUGAUGUGAGACCGCACCU